rnacentral:rRNA from 1 species
UACGUAGGGGGCAAGCGUUGUCCGGAAUCAUUGGGCGGAAAGCGCGUGUAGGCGGUUCGGUAAGUCUGCUGUGAAAGUCCAGGGCUCAACCCUGGGAUGCCGGUGGAUACUGUCGGACUAGAGUACGGAAGAGGCGAGUGGAAUUCCCGGUGUAGCGGUGAAAUGCGCAGAUAUCAGGAAGAACACCCGUGGCUAAGGCGGCUCUCUAGUACGGUACUGACGCUGAGACGCGAAAGCGUGGGGAGCGAACAGG